UACGUAGGGGGCAAGCGUUGUCCGGAAUUAUUGGGCGUAAAGAGCGUGUAGGCGGCCAGAUAAGUCCGCUGUGAAAUCUCGAGGCUCAACUUCGAGCUGUCGGUGGAAACUAUCUGGCUAGAGUCCGGAAGAGGAGAAUGGAAUUCCCGGUGUAGCGGUGAAAUGCGCAGAUAUCGGGAGGAACACCAAUGGCGAAGGCAGCUCGCUGGGACGGUACUGACGCUGAGGCGCGAAAGCGUGGGGAGCAAACAGG
rnacentral:rRNA from 1 species